rnacentral:rRNA from 1 species
GUCCACGCCGUAAACUAUGAGAACUAGAUUUGGGGGGAGUUUGACCCCUUCCGAAUCGAAGCGAACGCAUUAAGUUCUCCGCCUGGGAAGUACGGUCGCAAGACUAAAACUCAAAGGAAUUGACGGGGGCCCGCACAAGCGGUGGAUUAUGUGGUUUAAUUCGAAGCAACGCGAAGAACCUUACCUAGGUUUGAAAUCCUGAGAAUCCUCCGGAAAUGGAGGAGUGCCCUUCGGGGAAUUCAGUGACAGGUGCUGCAUGGCUGUCGU